AACGAACGCUGGCGGCGUGCCUAACACAUGCAAGUCGAACGGGAAAGCCCGCAAGGGUGAGUACAGUGGCGCACGGGUGCGUAACACGUGGGUAAUCUGCCCAGAAGCCCGGAAUAACUCCCCGAAAGGGGUGCUAAUGCCGGAUGAGACCACGGGGACCUCGGUUCCUGGGGGAAAAGGUGGCCUCUGUAUACAAGCUAUCACUUCUGGAUGAGCCCGCGGCCCAUCAGCUAGUUGGCGGGGUAAUGGCCCACCAAGGCUACGACGGGUAGCUGGGCUGAGAGGACGAUCAGCCACACUGGAACUGAGACACGGUCCAGACUCCUACGGGAGGCAGCAGUGGGGAAUCUUGCGCAAUGGGCGAAAGCCUGACGCAGCAACGCCGCGUGUGUGAUGAAGGUCUUCGGAUCGUAAAGCACUGUCGGGAGGGACGAAUAAGGGCCGGGUGAACGAUCCGGUCCGACGACGGUACCUCCAGAGGAAGCACCGGCUAACACUGUGCCAGCAGCCGCCGUAACAC
rnacentral:rRNA from 1 species